AUUGAACGCUGGCGGCAGGCUUAACACAUGCAAGUCGAGCGAGCGGCGGACGGGUGAGUAAUGUCUGGGAACCUGCCUGAUGGAGGGGGAUAACUACUGGAAACGGUAGCUAAUACCUCAUACCAUCAGAUGUGCCCAGAGGGGAUUAGCUAGUAGGUGGGGUAAUGGCUCACCUAGGCAACGAUCCCUAGCUGGUCUGCGAGGAUGACCAGCCACACUGGAACUGAGACACGGUCCAGACUCCUACGGGAGGCAGCAGUGGGGAAUAUUGCACAAUGGGCGCAAGCCUGAUGCAGCCAGGCCGCGUGUAUGAAGAAGGCCUUCGGGUUGUAAAGUACUUUCAGCGAGGAGGCGUUACUCGCAGAAGAAGCACCGGCUAACUCCGUGCCAGCAGCCGCGGUAAUUC
rnacentral:rRNA from 1 species